UGCUUACCAAAUGUAAGUGAACAAAGCAGCAUUUACAUUACAUGACAUGACUGCUGCUGGUGUCAAGGCACCAUCUUGUUUGUCCUUGAACACCAUGUUUUUUCCAACAGUGACAAUCCCCUUCUCACCUGCAGGCUGAACCUGUGCUGAAGGUCUCUUCUUAGAAUCUGGAAGACAGGGUCCUGAAAGCGCUCCCGGUUAAGGAUCCCAACAUGUUCUUAUCGAAUCCUUGCUGCAGAAUGAGAUGUGGAAGUUAUUGGAAGGCAGUUAAUGCAGAUAACUUGCAAAUCAAUAAUUAUCUAAUGUCAUCACCCAUGAGUCAAAUUCCUCUGUCCUACCUCAAAGACCACCCGCAUCCAGCAAGUAGGCUGCGUGCACUCACUAUGUCCUUUGCAGAAACGUUAAUGUUGCAUGCACCUUGUGCAAUCUUUUGCCUGCACAAAGCAUGCAAUGUGUAUGCAAACAGUCAUAGUUAUUGAGGGAAUGAGUCUUUCCUGCAUUGUCUUCCCUCUAUAGGUAGCAGGACCUCAACCCGCCUUGCUGAGGAAAUAUCAUUGCCUAUACUGGAAAGACAGUAAGGAUCAGGGCCCAGAGAUGGAGGAUCCCUGUUCAAAAUCCUUUCCCUCAGCAGGCACAAAGGGGAGUUGACCAAGGAGAUCCAGCAUCCCAGCUCCAAAUGCUUCUCUGACUGUCUGAGCUUUCUCCAAAACGAGUCUCAUCUCAUCUUCUGGGAGAACCUCAUUGCUCCUGCAGGCGCCAAGUGCCAGCCAGUUCAAGCAAUUCUCUGCCUCGUUUAUAAGUUUGUGGAUUCUACUGCCAUGGUUAUAUGCUUUCCUCAGAGCCUGGCUGAUGACUGAAGUACCAAGUGGAUGGUGCACUGGACUGUGACUCAGGAGACCUGGGUUUGAUUCCUGACUCUAGCAUUAGCCUGCAGGUUGACCUUGCCUCAGUUUCCCCACCUGUAAAAUUAGGAUAAUGCUCCUGGCUUUCUUUAUCAAGCACUUUCUAUGAGUAUCGUUAAUAAUAACAAUAAUGCUGGGAACCCAGAGCUAUAGCACCUGAUUGAAUAAGAGGUACAUGGGAUUCAUAACAACAUCACUGAUAUUUAGGGCUGGGAUUUUCAAUGGAAGUUAGGUGCCCAAAUUCCUAUUGAAUUUCAAUGGGAUGUAGGUUCCUAACUCCCUUAGGAUAUGUCUACGCUGCAGCUGGGAGGUGUGACUCCCAGCAUGGGUAGAUAGACUCACACACAAAAUAGGUUUCAGAGUAGCAGCCGUGUUAGUCUGUAUCCGCAAAAAGAAGAACAGGAGUACUUGUGGCACCUUAGAGACUAACAAAUUUAUUAGAGCAUAAGCUUUAGCAGUGCAGAGGUUGCAGCAUGGGCAGUGGCUCAGGCUAGCUGCCAGAGUCCAAACCCACCUGAGCCUUGGAUCUGAGCUCAGGUGGCUUGCCUGAGCCGCAGCCCCUGCCACAACAUCCACACUGCUAGCAUUCGCAGCUCCAGCAGAACUAGUGCGAGUCUGCCUACCAGGGCAUAGGCUCCCAUGCAAGCCCCAGCCUAGAUGUAGAGGGGUCCUCCCUGAGAAGUUACCAUCUUGUGGUGACAAAUGGGAAGUGCUAUCGGAGAUUCAGCAGUAAUCUCCCAUAACAAACAUCAGGGUCUUCUCAGCCCCUACAAUGUGAUAGUACCUGGUGACCGCUGGUCCUUUAACAGUGGUCACUGAACAGCAUUGCAACAGGGAUGCAGUUGUUCUGGGCCCAAUGGGCACGUGCACAUGUUGGCUGCAUAGAAUCAUAGAAUAUCAGGGUUGGAAGGGACCUCAGGAGGUCAUCUAGUCCAACCCCCUGCUCAAAGCAGGACCAAUUCCCAACUAAA